AGAAAUCCAGAGUCACAGGGCUAGAGCCAUAACAGGAUUUAGAUGCCUAACUGCUGCAGUAGGUGCCUACGUCCAAAAUUUAGGUCAUCAAAACCCUCGCUUAGCUGCCACCUAGCCCUGUAGGCACCUAAAGUAUCUAAGCACCCAAAUGUCUGCCAUAAUGCCCCCAUACACCCAUCUGGAACUGUCAGGGAGCAUGCAUGCAACCCCCUGAAUAAAUCCUGACACCAAUAUCAUACCUCAUCCCAGGCACAACAUUCUGAAGAAUCAGAGCAGGCAGUGCAGUGGGGACAAAGAAUCGGUGAAGAAAUUUGGCAGUAUGUGACCUCCAGAAGAAAGAGGAGCGUCCAUGUACCAGCAAUGCAGAUACAGGUGAAGUUCAGCUGACAUUGGAUCCUACUGUGAGAGAAUGAUGACCGUGGAGCUGCCACCUUUUCUUACAUAGUAUUUGUGCCCUAUUGUGCAAGUAGGCUCAGAGAGUUCAGAAGGGCUAUUCAAGAAGUAAGAUCCCUCUCAACAAGAGCAAAAGAGGCAGAAUCUGGCCUUAUGGAUUAUAAACUGGUUUUUUUUUAUUUUUAUUAUUAUUGUUGACCAUUGGUUUUGGAGGGAUUUUACUUUGUUUUAUAGAGUGAUGUGCCUGUUCUGAAAGAACAAAGGCUAAUACUGUGCAGUCUAACUGUAGGGUUCAAAGUUUAGCUCUUGUAUCAAGCAACAGCUAUC